CCUGUACAGUCAUUAGGAGAUUCUGCUAAGAAGACUCACUGUCUCUUCCUGAUCCAUCCUUCCUGAAUGGUCUUUGUACCACCCAUGCCUACAGGAGGUCUUUACUCCUCUUCUUUGACCGCGCCCGCUUGGUCCCACUGUUCUGACCCAGAACCUGUUUUCUCCCUCUCGUGCUCUGGCCCUUGUGUGCAGUGCAAUCGUUCCCUGUUUGGGUACAGCAGUCAGCGUGGCAGAAGGACGGCAGCCUCUUCAGGUCCCUGUAAGCUUUCCUCUUCUGUAUUCUCCCUCUCUGUCUGGUGCAUUGUAUGUCUCCCAGACUCACUCAGGCUUCUCAUGGGUAAUGUAAGAAACAAAGACAAAUCCUCAAUAGUUUACCCGAUUCAUAUGAGUAUUGUGCACAGAAUAACCAAAACAAAAUAAAAAUGACGAUGGCAAAAAUUGUAUUUGGUAAGAUUUGUUUUUUAACCAAAAAAUUAACAAAAUAUUACAGACUUUAUGAUUUAUAUAAAACUCAGACUUUACUGAU
rnacentral:lncRNA from 1 species